CGACGGGAUUUGCGAAGCCCUAGGAGCAUGCCGAGGGGCGGUUGGCCUCGUAAAAAGCCGCAAAAAAAUAGUCGCAAACGACGAAAACUACGCUUUAGCAGCUUAAUACCCUG
rnacentral:tmRNA from 1 species